ACUGACACAUUAUAUACACCAAGACCUGCCUAGGUGAGCAGUACACCAAAAACACAUUACUCAGUACUGACACAUUAUAUACACCAAGACCUGCCUAGGUGAGCAGUACACCAAAAACACAUUACUCAGUACUGACACAUUAUAUACACCAAGACCUGCCUAGGUGAGCAGUACACCAAAAACACAUUACUCAGUACUGACACAUUAUAUACACCAAGACCUGCCUAGGUGAGCAGUACACCAAAAACACAUUACUCAGUACUGACACAUUAUAUACACCAAGACCUGCCUAGGUGAGCAGUACACCAAAAACACAUUACUCAGUACUGACACAUUAUAUACACCAAGACCUGCCUAGGUGAGCAGUACACCAAAAACACAUUACUCAGUACUGACACAUUAUAUACACCAAGACCUGCCUAGGUGAGCAGUACACCAAAAACACAUUACUCAGUACUGACACAUUAUAUACACCAAGACCUGCCUAGGUGAGCAGUACACCAAAAACACAUUACUCAGUACUGACACAUUAUAUACACCAAGACCUGCCUAGGUGAGCAGUACACCAAAAACACAUUACUCAGUACUGACACAUUAUAUACACCAAGACCUGCCUAGGUGAGCAGUACACCAAAAACACAUUACUCAGUACUGACACAUUAUAUACACCAAGA